UACGUAGGGAGCAAGCGUUGUCCGGAAUCAUUGGGCGUAAAGCGCGCGUAGGUGGCUUCGUAAGUCCGUUGUGAAAGUCAAAGGCUCAACCUUUGAAAGCCGAUGGAUACUGUGAAGCUAGAGUACGGAAGAGGCGAGUGGAAUUCCUGGUGUAGCGGUGGAAUGCGCAGAUAUCAGGAGGAACACCGGUGGCGAAGGCGGUUAGCUGGGCAGUUGCUGACACUGAGGCGCGACAGCGUGGGGAGCAAACAGG
rnacentral:rRNA from 1 species